GACAGAGGUGGCAAGCGUUGUCCGGAAUUACUGGGCGUAAAGAGCGCGUAGGUGGCUAGAUAAGUCCGGUGUGAAACUCCUUCGGCUUAACCGAGGAAUGGCAUCGGGGACUGUAUAGCUAGAGGACGGGAGAGGAGAGCGGAAUUCCCGGUGUAGCGGUGAAAUGCGUAGAGAUCGGGAGGAAGGCCGGUGGCGAAGGCGGCUACUCGUGGAAC
rnacentral:rRNA from 1 species